UUUUUAGCCAAUCAAAUGUGAGUAUCUCAGCUUGUCCCACCCAAUUAUCACAAAUUGGCUACCCACUGUGCUACGUGGAGCUAAUGGGGAAACGAUCUUUAUUGGACCCACAGAGUCAAGCAAGUUUUGUGAAUCUCUGACUGAGAAAGGUGGAAAACUGCAACAUUGAACAGGUUGCUUGGGUGAUGCUGCAGGAGGAAUUUGCUCGCUUCAUGGCUGAGUACAAAGGUAAAGACCGGGAUGACAUUUUUGACAAGCUGAAGGAGGCCUUGAAGGACGAGAGCCUCAAAAGGCACAAGUGGAACGAAAGGGCCAUAGACAGCUCGUAUGUGUCAUCUGACAGUGACGUCAGACAGAC